CUCAAGGAAGCGCUUUGCCUAAGUGGACAUAAAGCGCACCCUUAAGGACUCGUUUUCUGUCCACGUGGACAAAGCACUUCCUUGAGG
rfam:Gossypium hirsutum cultivar TM-1 chromosome 3, whole genome shotgun sequence